UUAAUCAUCCUUUAAUCCCUCAUUCAACUAUUUUCUCAUCUCUCUUCAUUCCCAUGCAUAGCAUCCCAUUUCCCUUAGCAAGCAAAACCAUGAGAAGAUCAUCUCUUGGCCGACCACCUUGAUGAGCCAUUAGCAAAAGAGUAACAUAAGGAUUGAAGGAGAACAUCUUCAAUCAGAGUUCACAAGACUACUGAUUCGACAUAGUUUAUUCUUCAUUUACUUUGUUAUUUUGAUUUUAAUCAUGUUUACAAUGUGCUUUGUUAUCUUGUCAUUAACAAUGGUAGCUUAAAUCUGUUUAGCUAGGAUGAUUACAUUGUUUCAAUGAAGUUUAUUUAAAUAA
rnacentral:lncRNA from 1 species